rnacentral:pre_miRNA from 1 species
AGGAAGUAUAGCAGUGGCAGUGGCCAGCUCUGGAGCCCUGGAAUCAGCUCCUGCAGUAACAACAGAGCUCUCAGUCUGCCGGGGCCUGGAUGCUCCGGGGGCGG